rnacentral:rRNA from 1 species
CACUCCUGCGGGAGGCAGCAGUGGGGAAUUUUGGACAAUGGGCGAAAGCCUGAUCCAGCAAUGCCGCGUGCAGGAUGAAGGCCUUCGGGUUGUAAACUGCUUUUGUACGGAACGAAAAAGCUCCUUCUAAUACAGGGGGCCCAUGACGGUACCGUAAGAAUAAGCACCGGCUAACUACGUGCCAGCAGCCGCGGUAAUACGUAGGGUGCGAGCGUUAAUCGGAAUUACUGGGCGUAAAGCGUGCGCAGGCGGUUAUGUAAGACAGAUGUGAAAUCCCCGGGCUCAACCUGGGAACUGCAUUUGUGACUGCAUGGCUAGAGUACGGUAGAGGGGGAUGGAAUUCCGCGUGUAGCAGUGAAAUGCGUAGAUAUGCGGAGGAACACCGAUGGCGAAGGCAAUCCCCUGGACCUGUACUGACGCUCAUGCACGAAAGCGUGGGGAGCAAACAGGAUUAGAUACCCGGGUAGUCCCAUG